rnacentral:rRNA from 1 species
ACUCCUACGGGAGGCAGCAGUGGGGAAUAUUGCACAAUGGGCGCAAGCCUGAUGCAGCCAUGCCGCGUGUAUGAAGAAGGCCUUCGGGUUGUAAAGUACUUUCAGCAGUGAGGAAGGUGGGUAUGUUAAUAGCAUAUUCAUUUGACGUUAGCUGCAGAAGAAGCACCGGCUAACUCCGUGCCAGCAGCCGCGGUAAUACGGAGGGUGCGAGCGUUAAUCGGAAUUACUGGGCGUAAAGCGCAUGCAGGUGGUUUGUUAAGUCAGAUGUGAAAGCCCGGGGCUCAACCUCGGAAUUGCAUUUGAAACUGGCAAACUAGAGUACUGUAGAGGGGGUAGAAUUUCAGGUGUAGCGGUGAAAUGCGUAGAGAUCUGAAGGAAUACCGGUGGCGAAGGCGGCCCCUGGACAGAUACUGACACUCAGAUGCGAAAGCGUGGGAGCAAACAGGAUUAGAUACCCCUGGUA